CCUACGGGAGGCAGCAGUGGGGAAUUUUGGACAAUGGGCGAAAGCCUGAUCCAGCCAUUCCGCGUGCAGGAUGAAGGCCCUCGGGUUGUAAACUGCUUUUGUACAGAACGAAAAGGUUUCUACUAAUACUAGGAGCUCAUGACGGUACUGUAAGAAUAAGCACCGGCUAACUACGUGCCAGCAGCCGCGGUAAUACGUAGGGUGCAAGCGUUAAUCGGAAUUACUGGGCGUAAAGCGUGCGCAGGCGGUUAUAUAAGUCAGAUGUGAAAUCCCCGGGCUCAACCUGGGAACUGCAUUUGAGACUGUAUAGCUAGAGUACGGUAGAGGGGGAUGGAAUUCCGCGUGUAGCAGUGAAAUGCGUAGAUAUGCGGAGGAACACCGAUGGCGAAGGCAAUCCCCUGGACCUGUACUGACGCUCAUGCACGAAAGCGUGGGGAGCAAACAGGAUUAGAUACCCUGGUAGUCCACGCCCUAAACGAUGUCAACUGGUUGUUGGGUCUUAACUGACUCAGUAACGAAGCUAACGCGUGAGUGACGCGNGGAGUACGGCGCGAGUAGAACGUAAUAGAGUGAGNGNGAGAGNGCGAGACGACGACGAGGGAGGAGG
rnacentral:rRNA from 1 species